GAAGAACCUUACCAGCUCUUGACAUUCGGGGUUUGGGCAGUGGAGACAUUGUCCUUCAGUUCGGCUGGCCCCAGAACAGGUGCUGCAUGGCUGUCGUCAGCUCGUGUCGUGAGAUGUUGGGUUAAGUCCCGCAACGAGCGCAACCCUCGCCCUUAGUUGCCAGCAUUUGGUUGGGCACUCUAAGGGGACUGCCGGUGAUAAGCCGAGAGGAAGGUGGGGAUGACGUCAAGUCCUCAUGGCCCUUACGGGCUGGGCUACACACGUGCUACAAUGGUGGUGACAGUGGGCAGCGAGACCGCGAGGUCGAGCUAAUCUCCAAAAGCCAUCUCAGUUCGGAUUGCACUCUGCAACUCGAGUGCAUGAAGUGGAAUCGCUAGUAAUCG
rnacentral:rRNA from 1 species